rnacentral:rRNA from 1 species
UACGAAGGGGGCUAGCGUUGUUCGGAUUUACUGGGCGUAAAGCGCACGUAGGCGGACUAUUAAGUCAGGGGUGAAAUCCCGGGGCUCAACCCCGGAACUGCCUUUGAUACUGGUAGUCUUGAGUUCGAGAGAGGUGGGUGGAAUUCCGAGUGUAGAGGUGAAAUUCGUAGAUAUUCGGAGGAACACCAGUGGCGAAGGCGGCUCUCUGGACCGAUACUGACGCUGAGGCGCGAAAGCGUGGGGAGCAAACAGG